rnacentral:rRNA from 1 species
GAUGAACGCUAGCGGCAGGCUUAACACAUGCAAGUCGAGGGGCAGCAUAUUUUGUAGUAAUACAAGAUGAUGGCGACCGGCGCACGGGUGCGUAACGCGUAUGCAACCUACCAUAUACAGGGGGAUAAACUUUCGAAAGGGAGCCUAAUACCCCAUAGUAUUAUUUUAAGGCAUCUUGCAAUAAUUAAAGAUUAAUUGGUAUAUGAUGGGCAUGCGUGUCAUUAGCUAGUUGGUAAGGUAACGGCUUACCAAGGCGACGAUGACUAGGGGUUCUGAGAGGAAGAUCCCCCACACUGGUACUGAGACACGGACCAGACUCCUACGGGAGGCAGCAGUGAGGAAUAUUGGUCAAUGGGCGAGAGCCUGAACCAGCCAUGCCGCGUGCAGGAAGACGGCCCUAUGGGUUGUAAACUGCUUUUAUGUGAGGAUAAACCUAUUCUUGCGAGAGUAGCUGAAGGUAUCACAUGAAUAAGGAUCGGCUAACUCCGUGCCAGCCGCCGCAGUAA